UACGGUGCGUGCCAGUCUGCUCUGGCGGGGGCUACUGCGCGAGGAGGUAAGCGUUACUACUAGGGUAUAGUUUCUACAGUGCAAGGCUGAAAAUUAAAGGAAUUGACGGAAGGGCACCACCAGGAGUGGAGCCUGCGGCUUAAUUUGACUCAAUACGGGAAAACUCACCAGGUCCGGACAUAGUGAGGAUUGACAGAUUGAGAGCUCUUUCUUGAUUCUAUGGUUGGUGGUGCAUGGCCGUUCUUAGUUGGUGGAAACCCAUUUUGUCUGGUUAAUUCAUCUUUCACAAGUUGCGCUCUCGACCAAAUUUUAUUCAACGCCCGCCCUUUAACGCACACACAAACGCAAUUUUUUUAUGCAAUACUUGCACCCCUUGUAGAACAACACACGCUCAAGGCGGUGUGUGCAUACCUCCAGAGUGCCGCUGGUUGCUUCAAAACUCUUGGCGAACAGUUUGGCAAUGCACCGACGUCGGACAUGGCACGGCCUAUACUCAAUGUCAUAACAUCCCUGAUGCUUGCUCAGGCCCAGGAGUUGGUACUAGAGCGCAGUGUUUUGGAUGGGGGAAAGUAUGUCAGCAGCUGCAAAACGUAUACUAGCAACUAUAAGUUAUUUAUAUAUAUAUAUAUAUAUAUAUAUAUAUAUGUAUAUAUAUAUAUAUAUAUAUAUAUAUAUAUAUAUAUAUAUAUAUAUAUAUAUAUAUAUAUAUAUAUAUAUAUAUAUAUAUAUAUAUAUAUAUAUUAUAUAUAUAUAUAUAUAUAUAUAGUAUAGUAU
rnacentral:ncRNA from 1 species